UAGGCGGAUUUUCGAGCCAGGCCGGGCUGGGCCACCCAGCUCAUGAUCAGCUCUAAUUCUGGUAGCACCAUUAGUCAGAAAAAUCACCAAGUAGUCCAUCUUUCCUUUCUCUUUCGAUUUAAAAAUUCAAAUAUUCUUGAAACCCGCAAGAAAACCACGAAAAUAUUGAGUCAGUUUCAAACUUAUCUGUCCCGAUCUACUACCUUCGUCGUUAGAUCGCCUAGGGUACUUGAUAUAUGGUUCUCCUUGACCGAAUAGAUCCUGUCACCGUUCAAAUUGUCUAAUGGAAUUCCAGAGCUUAAAACCCAAAUUCAAACAGAGAUAAGUCCCCUUCUCUUUAUUUUUUUUUUCAAUCUCUUUUCCUCCUUUUAUGAAUAUUGGUUUUUCUCUUCUUUGUUUGCAGGUUUGGAUUAGCUUCUUCAAAACAGUUCAAUGGCCAAUGAGGUGGAGGUGGAAGCAGUAAUGGUGACAGUGAAAGUUGGAUGAUGAAGGAGAUGUUGUGUGGGAGAUGGAGUAUUAGACAGUGAUGGGGGUUUUGAGUGGCUAAGGGUUGUGUCAAAUAUGGCAAUGAUGAUGAGGGAUUUAGAGUUGAGAGAAGGGGUAAGAAAGGGAGUAGUGUGAGCUUGUUGAUGGUGGUUUAGAGAGUGAAUGGCGGGAAAGGUAACAGUGAUGCAGAGAGAAAAAAUGAACUAAAAGAAAAAUAAAGAGAAAAAGAAGAAAUAAAAAUAGGAAAAGGAAUUAAAACAUAGACUUAAUGGUGGAAGAGAUGAUUUAACAGUAUAGUGAUUAA